rnacentral:rRNA from 1 species
UACGUAGGGGGCGAGCGUUGUCCGGAAUUAUUGGGCGUAAAGCGCACGCAGGCGGUUCGCUAAGUUCGAGGUGACAAUCACCGGCUUAACCGGUGAACGAUUUCGAAAACUGGCGGACUUGAGAGCGAGAGAGGGACAUGGAACUCCGGGUGGAGCGGUGAAAUGCGUAGAGAUCCGGAAGAACACCAAUAGCGAAGGCAGCGUCCUGGCUCGUAUCUGACGCUGAGGUGCGAAAGCUAGGGGAGCGAACGGG